GAGCGCAUGCGCGAGCGCGGAGGGUGGGGCCCCAACGGCCGUCCGGCGGGGGCGGGGCCUGUCAUGGCGGCCUCGAGAGUCAAUUCCAGGAACCCUGAGUCUGAUACUCUCAGAUCAUGACGGAAUUGCAAGCAUAGUUUGGCUGGUGAUGCAAAAGUUCAGCAAAAAUCAACGAAAGGAGUAGGGAGUGCUGAUUCAGGUUAUUAAGGCUUUGCUUGAUGACACACCACUGCAGGUGCGUAUGGGGCUUAAGGUAGUUUAUGUUUGUAUUCUGAGGUUGUGAAAGUACUGUGUGGGUGUGUUUGUAGUGUGAAUUACAUAUAUGUGCGU